rnacentral:rRNA from 1 species
GUUUAGUGGCGGACGGGUGAGUAACACGUGAGCAACCUGCCCAGAAGAAAGGGAUAGCUCGAGGAAACUCGAAUUAAUACCAUAUGUGAUCCUGUGAAGCAUUUCGCAGGAAUGAAAGAUGCCUUCGGGUGUCACUUCUGGAUGGGCUCGCGGCCUAUCAGUUAGUUGGUGAGGUAACGGCUCACCAAGGCAAUGACGGGUAGCUGGUCUGAGAGGACGACCAGUCACACUGGAACUGAGACACGGUCCAGACACCUACGGGUGGCAGCAGUCGAGAAUCAUUCGCAAUGGGGGAAACCCUGACGGUGCGACGCCGCGUGGAGGAUGACGGUCUUCGGAUUGUAAACUCCUGUCAUCGAAGAGUAAGGCUUAUGUAUUAAUAGUAUGUAAGAUUGAUAGUAUUCGAAGAGGAAGGGACGGCUAACUUCGUGCCAGCAGCCGCGGUAAUACGAAGGUCCCAAGCGUUGUUCGGAAUCACUGGGCGUAAAGGGAGCGUAGGCGGUGAGGUAAGUCAGAUGUGAAAUUCCAGGGCUCAACCCUGGAACUGCAUCCGAUACUGCCUUACUAGAGUAGUGGAGGGGCAUCUGGAAUUCACGGUGUAGCAGUGAAAUGCGUAGAGAUCGUGAGGAACACUAGUGGCGAAGGCGAGAUGCUGGACACUUACUGACGCUGAGGCUCGAAGGCCAGGGUAGCGAAAGGGAUUAGAUACCCCUGUAGUCCUGGCAGUAAACGGUGCACGUUUGGUGUGAGAAGGUUCGACCCUUUUCGUGCCGGAG